AUUGAACGCUGGCGGCAGGCCUAACACAUGCAAGUCGAACGGUAACAGGAAGCAGCUUGCUGCUUUGCUGACGAGUGGCGGACGGGUGAGUAAUGUCUGGGAAACUGCCCGAUGGAGGGGGAUAACUACUGGAAACGGUAGCUAAUACCGCAUAACGUCGCAAGACCAAAGAGGGGGACCUUAGGGCCUCUUGCCAUCGGAUGUGCCCAGAUGGGAUUAGCUAGUAGGUGGGGUAACGGCUCACCUAGGCGACGAUCCCUAGCUGGUCUGAGAGGAUGACCAGCCACACUGGAACUGAGACACGGUCCAGACUCCUACGGGAGGCAGCAGUGGGGAAUAUUGCACAAUGGGCGCAAGCCUGAUGCAGCCAUGCCGCGUGUAUGAAGAAGGCCUUCGGGUUGUAAAGUGCUUUCAGCGGGGAGGAAGGGAGUAAAGUUAAUACCUUUGCUCAUUGACGUUACCCGCAGAAGAAGCACCGGCUAACUCCGUG
rnacentral:rRNA from 1 species